AUUGAACGCUGGCGGCAGGCCUAACACAUGCAAGUCGAACGAGUGGCGGACGGGUGAGUAAUGUCUGGGAAACUGCCUGAUGGAGGGGGAUAACUACUGGAAACGGUAGCUAAUACCGCCUACCAUCGGAUGUGCCCAGAUGGGCUUAGCUAGUAGCCGGGCUAAAGGUUCACCUAGGCGACGAUCCCUAGUUGGUCUGAGAGGAUGACCAGCGAAACUGGAACUGAGACACGGUCCAGAGUCCUACGUGAGGCAGCAGUGGGGAAUAUUGCGCAAUGGGCGCAAGCCUGAUGCGGCCAGGCCGCGUGUAUGAAGAAGGCCUUCGGGUUGUAAAGUACUUUCAGCGGGGAGGCGUUACCCGCAGAAGAAGCACCGGCUAACUCCGUGCCAGCAACCGCGGUAAUAC
rnacentral:rRNA from 1 species